UACGGGAGGCAGCAGUGGGGAAUAUUGCACAAUGGGCGAAAGCCUGAUGCGAGCUAUGCCGCGUGUAUGAAGAAGGCCUUAGGGUUGUAAAGUACUUUCAUCGGGGAGGAAAAACAAAACUAAUAAUUUUAUUUCUUGACGUUACCCGAAAAAGAAGCACCGGCUAACUCCGUGCCAGCAGCCGCGGUAAUACGGAGGGUGCUAGCGUUAAUCAGAAUUACUGGGCGUAAAGAGCACGUAGGUGGUUUUUUUAAGUCAGAUGUGAAAUCCCUGGGCUUAACCUAGGAACUGCAUUUUGAAACUGAAAUACUAGAGUAUCGUAGAGGGAGGUAGAAUUCUAGGUGUAGCGGUGAAAUGCGUAGAUAUCUGGAGGAAUACCUGUGGCGAAAGCGGCCUCCUAAACGAAUACUGACACUGAGGUGCGAAAGCGUGGGGAGCAAACGAGGAUUAGAUACCCGU
rnacentral:rRNA from 1 species